UAGUCCACGCUGUAAACGAUGUCUACUAGCCGUUGGUUUCCUUGAGGAAGCAGUGGCGCAGCUAACGCGAUAAGUAGACCGCCUGGGGAGUACGGCCGCAAGGUUAAAACUCAAAUGAAUUGACGGGGGCCCGCACAAGCGGUGGAGCAUGUGGUUUAAUUCGAUGCAACGCGAAGAACCUUACCAGGUCUUGACAUCCUGAAAACUUUCUAGAGAUAGAUUGGUGCCUUCGGGAAUUCAGUGACAGGUGCUGCAUGGCUGUCGUCAGCUCGUGUCGUGAGAUGUUGGGUUAAGUCCCGUAACGAGCGCAACCCUUGUCCUUAGUUGCUAGCAGGUAAUGUCGGGGACUCUAACGAGACUGCCCGCGUAAGCGGAGAGGAAGGUGGGGACGACGUCAAAUCAUCAUGGCCUUUAUGCCUAGGGCUACACACGUGCUACAAUGGCAGGUACAGAGGGUUGCGAAGGGGUGACCUGGAGCUAAUCUCAGAAAGCCUGUCCCAGUUC
rnacentral:rRNA from 1 species